UACGUAGGGUGCAAGCGUUGUCCGGAAUUAUUGGGCGUAAAGAGCUCGUAGGCGGUUUGUCGCGUCGACUGUGAAAACCUACAGCUUAACUGUGGGCUUGCAGUCGAUACGGGCAGACUAGAGUUCGGUAGGGGAGACUGGAAUUCCUGGUGUAGCGGUGAAAUGCGCAGAUAUCAGGAGGAACACCGGUGGCGAAGGCGGGUCUCUGGGCCGAUACUGACGCUGAGGAGCGAAAGCGUGGGGAGCGAACAGG
rnacentral:rRNA from 1 species